UACAGAGGGUGCGAGCGUUGUCCGGAAUUACUGGGCGUAAAGGGCGCGUAGGCGGUCUUGUAAGUCUUGUGUGAAAUCCCUCGGCUUAACUGAGGAACUGCACGAGAUACUGCGAGACUUGAGUUCGGGAGAGGAAAGCGGAAUUCCGGGUGUAGCGGUGAAAUGCGUAGAUAUCCGGAGGAACACCGGUGGCGAAGGCGGCUUUCUGGACCGACACUGACGCUGAGGCGCGAAAGCUAGGGGAGCAAACGGG
rnacentral:rRNA from 1 species